CUGUCCACUUUAUUUUGCAAGUCAUCUAAAUAUUUAAGUGGUAGCCAAAGAAAUUCAUUUUCAGGUGAUUGAUUAGUUUUUGUAGAUGUGUAUGAAUUUUGAUCUCUCCCCUGAAGCUAAGCUGAAGUGAAGUGAUAAUUCUGUUGAACAUGAAUUGUUAGAUAUCAAAUGAAUUCCAAACUUUAAGACUUCGUUUCAAUAUGAAGGGAUAUGUUAAGAUUCGAGCAUUGAUUGGUGUAUACAAUUAAAAGAAUGUCUUUGUGCUUGCAUGAUGAACUGGGUUGAAAAAUUUUGAAAAUAUUAAAUGUUUCCCUCAGCUUGUUGUGAUCCUCCUGGACAUCCAAGUGUUUUCGACAUUGAUGAAGAUUUUGUCAAUCUCUCUCUUGGACCAAACCAAGAAAUGAUGGUUUUAAGAAGAUUAUAGGAUAUGUCAUAGAAUACGAAGACCCCACCACUGGAGGCAGGCUAAUGACUACCCAGUAGAUGAGUGUGUUUAUGAGGUGAAGGGAUUAAAAAAGGACAAGGAAUACAACUUCCACAUACAGGCCAAGAAUCUUGAAGGUUUUUAAAUUAGUGAGUCUAGUGAUGUGAUUGGUCCCAUAACUCCCAAGCCCAAAUACACCAAGGUUUUGCCACCUGGUGUACCAGAGGCUGUCAACAAUUCUAUAACUUAUCUGAAAUGGGAACCACCUAAACAUAAUGGUGGCUGUAAAA